GGGAUAACCUUGCGAAAGUAAGACUAAUACCCAAUGAUAUCUCUAGAAGGCAUCUGAAAGAGAUUAAAGAUUUAUCGGUGAUGGAUGGGGAUGCGUCUGAUUAGCUUGUUGGCGGGGUAACGGCCCACCAAGGCAACGAUCAGUAGGGGUUCUGAGAGGAAGGUCCCCCACAUUGGAACUGAGACACGGUCCAAACUCCUACGGGAGGCAACAGUGAGGAAUAUUGGUCAAUGGACGAGAGUCUGAACCAGCCAAGUAGCGUGCAGGAUGACGGCCCUAUGGGUUGUAAACUGCUUUUAUAAGGGAAUAAAGUGAGUCUCGUGAGACUUUUUGCAUGUACCUUAUGAAUAAGGACCGGCUAAUUCCGUGCCAGCAGCCGCGGUAAUACGGAAGGUCCGGGCGUUAUCCGGAUUUAUUGGGUUUAAAGGGAGCGUAGGCCGGAGAUUAAGCGUGUUGUGAAAUGUAGAUGCUCAACAUCUGAACUGCAGCGCGAACUGGUUUCCUUGAGUACGCACAAAGUGGGCGGAAUUCGUGGUGUAGCGGUGAAAUGCUUAGAUAUCACGAAGAACUCCGAUUGCGAAGGCAGCUCACUGGAGCGCAACUGACGCUGAAGCUCGAAAGUGCGGGUAUCGAACAGGAUUAGAUACCCUGGUAGUCCGCACGGUAAACGAUGGAGGCCCGCUGUUGGUCUGAAUAGGUCAGCGGCCAAG
rnacentral:rRNA from 1 species